UACGUAGGGACCAAGCGUUGUUCGGAUUUACUGGGCGUAAAGGGCUCGUAGGCGGCCAACUAAGUCAGACGUGAAAUCCCUCGGCUUAACCGGGGAACUGCGUCUGAUACUGGAUGGCUUGAGAUUGGGAGAGGGAUGCGGAAUUCCAGGUGUAGCGGUGAAAUGCGUAGAUAUCUGGAGGAACACCGGUGGCGAAGGCGGCAUCCUGGACCAACACUGACGCUGAGGAGCGAAAGCCAGGGGAGCAAACGGG
rnacentral:rRNA from 1 species